rnacentral:rRNA from 1 species
AUGGCUGCUAGGCAAAUUUCAUGGACACCUACCAUGUCAUCAUACAUGCUAGCGAACCUAUGUGCUGUGGUGACCGGUGGCCAUAGAACCGGUACCGCCUUCAAGAAUGUACAUUGGAAUGCUUGUGCCAUGGCUAUGAAUGAACAUUUUAACCGCACUGACUUAAUUGGAACCCACAUCACAAAUCAUACAAGGACAUGGAAGAGGAAGUAUAAACAGAUAGUGCACCUCAAAUCAUUGAGUGGUGCACUUUGGGAUGAAGAGAACUUUAUGAUUGUUCUUGAUCAUGAGCAUUACACAAACCACAUUAAGGACCACAAAGAAGAUGAACCCUUCCUUAACAAGCCUAUUAAACAUUAUGAAGAGAUGCUGGUUAUCGUUGGAGCUAGCAUGGCUACAGGGCAAUAUGCAAAAGGCUCAAGUGACCCUUUAGGUACAGAUGUGAUUGAUCUUGAAGAACCGAAAGCCAACAAAGCUGCUGCCCCUCAUGAAGAGGUUUCCCAAUCACCCACUUGUGGCGAGUCAGCUGCUCCCAAGUUGAAGAAAGCCAAAACCAAUCCUUCUGCAGAAGACAGGAUGCAUGCAACCAUAAUGGCUUCAAGUGAAAGGCUUGCUGUUGCCAUAGAGAAACUUAUUAGCAGCGCCAACCCCGCCAUUGAUGGUCUUUGGGAUGAGAUGAAAGAACUCCCUGGUUUUGAUUUGGAUUCCCUUGCACAUUACUAUGCCUAUUUGGUUGACAAUCCUCGUGUUGCAACAGCAUUCAAGGUCUUGGGAGAUGUCCAGAGAAAGGUUUGGGUCUCUAGGUAUGUGAAGAGUACCUUCCCUGAAGCCGACGCAUGA